UACGUAGGGGGCAAGCGUUGUCCGGAUUUAUUGGGCGUAAAGAGCGUGUAGGCGGCUAGAUAGGUCCGUUGUGAAAACUGGAGGCUCAACCUCCAGCUGUCGAUGGAAACCAUCUGGCUAGAGUCCGGAAGAGGAGAGUGGAAUUCCUGGUGUAGCGGUGAAAUGCGCAGAUAUCAGGAGGAACACCGAUUGCGAAGGCAGCUCGCUGGGACGUUACUGACGCUGAGACGCGAAAGCGUGGGGAGCAAACAGG
rnacentral:rRNA from 1 species